CGGCGGACGGGUGAGUAACGCGUGGGUAACCUGCCUCAUACAGGGGGAUAACAGUUAGAAAUGACUGCUAAUACCGCAUAAGACCACAGCACCGCAUGGUGCGGGGUAAAAACUCCGGUGGUAUGAGAUGGACCCGCGUCUGAUUAGCUAGUUGGUAAGGUAACGGCUUACCAAGGCGACGAUCAGUAGCCGGCCUGAGAGGGUGACCGGCCACAUUGGGACUGAGACACGGCCCAA
rnacentral:rRNA from 1 species